CAUUCGAAAGGCAGCUCAAUCUCCCCAAAGCAAAACUAAGUUGGUCUGAGUUCGUCAGUAUCAAUCAGGUUGCAUUUCAGUUGCAAUCUCUUCCUCAAACUCUCCAAAAAAGUGACCAACUCGCAGUCGAAUUAGGACUUUCUCCAGCCACACCGAGACGAACGUCAACCAAGCGACUAGAUCACAAUCAUGAUGAAAAUGCGUCUUGUUCUUGUUGUGGGGAUGGUGGCCUUGAUCUGCCUCUCCUCCCCCUCCGUGAAGGCCGAGGAUCCCAAGGCAGAGCCCGAAGCAGCCGCUGAACCAGAGCCUGCAGCCGAACCAGAAUCCACCCACGACGCCAAGCACGCAGGAUCCUCAAAGAGCGAGACAAAAGCUGCAUCAAAAAAUCCAGCGUCGAUGCCUUCAGCAGCCUUCAGCGUUCCUGCCAUCCUCUCAUUGACACUGGUGGCCAAGUUCAUUUUGUAACUUGAAGAUUAGAUUAUCAGAGUAUUACCAGACAGACGCUUGUCAUCAGUCUGAGCUGACAAACUUAAAUUAUCACAGCAUACAACAUAUAUCAAUGUAAAUAAAUGUGGCAUAGGUUACAAGCAUUUAUAUUCAUUAUUUUGCAUUGAAAUCCAACACGCCAUGGCUCGUGGGUGACAUAAAAUUCUUGAUAUGAGCAAGUCAAUUGUACUUAUCAGUUGUUUUUAAUUACCUUGAUUGGAAACGUUGUCAAAUUUGAAAGAAAAAUUCCAUAAAUGCAGAACUGGAACUACCUUAAAAGUAUUGUACGAAGCAGUGCCGUAAUAUUUCAUUGUGUGUAGUGUGUAAAUAGUUGCGAGUUUUAAGAAAUAAAGUCAUACAUAACAACAAAUAGGUCAGUCUUACUUAAUAAAUUGAUUUUGAUUUAAAAAAUAA